GACGAACGCUGGCGGCGUGCCUAAUACAUGCAAGUAGAACGCUGAAGGAGGAGCUUGCUUCUCUGGAUGAGUUGCGAACGGGUGAGUAACGCGUAGGUAACCUGCCUGGUAGCGGGGGAUAACUAUUGGAAACGAUAGCUAAUACCGCAUAAUAGUAGAUGUUGCAUGACAUUUGCUUAAAAGGUGCAAUUGCAUCACUACCAGAUGGACCUGCGUUGUAUUAGCUAGUUGGUGAGGUAACGGCUCACCAAGGCGACGAUACAUAGCCGACCUGAGAGGGUGAUCGGCCACACUGGGACUGAGACACGGCCCAGACUCCUACGGGAGGCAGCAGUAGGAAAUCUUCGGCAAUGGACGGAAGUCUGACCGAGCAGCGCCGCGUGAGUGAAGAAGGUUUUCGGAUCGUAAAGCUCUGUUGUAAGAGAAGAACGAGUGUGAGAGUGGAAAGUUCACACUGUGACGGUAUCUUACCAGAAAGGGACGGCUAACUACGUG
rnacentral:rRNA from 1 species